UCAAUAAAUUUUUGUUAGUAUGGUCAGCAUAAGCAUUUUUCCUGUUUUUUUCGUAAUGUAACUCACGGCAGUUACUAGGAUGCUUCUAGACUUAAAGAGUUUAUAGCUUUACCUUCUCUUGGCAUGAGCGCAUGAAGGGUAACACGCUAGCCUAACGGUCGGUUACGGCUCGGGCCACUUAUAUCGUCUAUUCCUAGUUUCAUUUUUUAACUCAAUUCGUUUCACAGAAGGUGCUACUGAUAAUGGAGUAAAAUUUUUUCCUAGAUGACCUCACCAUUGCAUACAAACGAGAAAUGGUAGUUAAUUAAAGCUAGCUGUUGAAUCGAAGCCACACUUUGAAUAAUGCAUCAGAAAAUGUCAGAAUAGGUCUAGAUCUAAGGAGAGGAUAAAAUUAUUGCUAUCCAUAAUGGCAAUUUUCGUUUUCAUUCAAGUGCCAUUCUGAUUUAGAACAUGGCAACAUGAAGUAAAAACACAUGUUUCUCAGAAGGCACACAUUUGGAAAAGGGGAAGCUAUAAAGGAUUGGUUAGGUUAAUAGAAUUAUGCAAUUAUCUUUGACAGUUUGUGAUGCAGAUUGUCAGCUUCCAUGGUGUCCUCUUGGUAAUUAUCCUUGGGCCCUGAACAAUCAUUGAUAUUCUACGUCAAGUGUAGUUUUUAAUAUAAUGUAACAGGAGUUAUGACCUUGUGAGACUACCCUGAAAUCAGUUGGACUCCCACAUGUUCGACAUUUGUAAUAUCAGAUUGAAAUGAAGCGCAAAUUGAUGAAAACGUCGAAACGGCAAUCGCAGAGAUGUAUUUUCAGAAUAACCUAUAUGGUUCAUUAGGCAAGCGACGUCCAACGGAAAAUGGGAACUAAUUCUGGAGAACAUAUACAAUCGAAUUUAUUGCUGGCCAUGUUUUCCGCCUAGAGUAUACAAAGCUACGUUUGUUGUCGGUCGAAACGGAGUCAGCCAGCAUCUUUUACAUCCAUCAAUUCAUCCAGAUUAGUUGUGUAUAAAACUUAAGUUACUGUAAUUGCAGACGCAGAUGUAGAUCACAAAUUUCAUCCUAGGGCAAUCUUUUGCAAGUUAAAGAAUUGUCUUGCAAAGUUGCAAUGUUUUUUUUGUUUUGUUUUAAAACAGCAUUACAUAGAGCAAACCAAUCCAACAGAGAAGUCCUAUCGUUUAAUUUGAGCUAUAGUUUGAAAUAUGUCAACCCUACACUCAAUGGAUCCA